rnacentral:rRNA from 1 species
CACGGGGGGGAGCAAGCGUUGUUCGGAAUCACUGGGCGUAAAGGGCGUGUAGGCGGUCAGGUAAGUGAGAUGUGAAAUGCCCCGGCUCACCCGGGGACCGGCAUCUCAUACUGCUUGGCUUGAGUACGGGAGAGGAUGUGGGAAUUCCUGGUGUAGCGGUGAAAUGCGCAGAUAUCAGGAGGAACACCGGUGGCGAAGGCGGAUCUCUGGGCCAUUACUGACGCUGAGGAGCGAAAGCGUGGGGAGCGAACAGG